CCGUACUUCUUAUAAUUGCGAUGGGGGGACGGAGAAGGCUAGGUGGGCUUGGCGACGGUCGUCCAAGUUCAAGUGCGUAGGCUAAGAGUUUAGGUAAAUCCGGACUCUUGUUAGGCUGAGACACGAUGUCGAGCAUCUACGGAUGUGAAGCCAUUGAUGCCAUGCUUCCAGGAAAAGCCUCUAAGCUUCAGAUUAUAAGAAAUCGUACCCCAAACCGACACAGGUGGUCGAGUAGAGAAUACUAAGGCGCUUGAGAGAACUCGGGUGAAGGAACUAGGCAAAAUGGUACCGUAACUUCGGGAGAAGGUACGCUCCUAGCGGUGAUGAGACUUGCUCUCUAAGCUGCCGGGAGUCGCAGAUACCAGGUGGCUGCAACUGUUUAUUAAAAACAUAGCACUGUGCUAAAUCGUAAGAUGACGUAUACGGUGUGACGCCUGCCCGGUGCUUGAAGGUUAAUUGAUGGGGUUAGACUUCGGUCGAAGCUCUUGAUCGAAGCCCAAGUAAACGGCGGCCGUAACAAUAACGGUCCUAAGGUAGCGAAAUUCCUUGUCGGGUAAGUUCCGACCUGCACGAAUGGCGUAACGACUUCCCCGCUGUCUCCAGCAUAGACUCAGUGAAAUUGAAUUCCCCGUGAAGAUGCGGGGUUCCUGCGGUUAGACGGAAAGACCCCGUGCACCUUUACUAUAGCUUUACAUUGGCAUUCGUAGUGGCAUGUGUAGGAUAGGUGGUAGGCUUUGAAACCUGGGCGCCAGCUCAGGUGGAGCCACCCUUGAAAUACCACCCUUAUUACUAUGGAUGUCUAACCGCGGCCCGUUAUCCGGGUCCGGGACAAUGUAUGGUGGGUAGUUUGACUGGGGCGGUCGCCUCCUAAAGAGUAACGGAGGCGCGCGAUGGUGGGCUCAGAACGGUCGGAAAUCGUUCGCUGAGUGCAAUGGCAUAAGCCUGCCUGACUGCGAGACUGACAAGUCGAGCAGAGACGAAAGUCGGUCAUAGUGAUCCGGUGGUCCCGCGUGGAAGGGCCAUCGCUCAACGGAUAAAAGGUACGCCGGGGAUAACAGGCUGAUGACCCCCAAGAGUCCAUAUCGACGGGGUUGUUUGGCACCUCGAUGUCGACUCAUCGCAUCCUGGGGCUGGAGCAGGUCCCAAGGGUAUGGCUGUUCGCCAUUUAAAGCGGUACGUGAGUUGGGUUCAGAACGUCGUGAGACAGUUCGGUCCCUAUCUGCCGUGGGUGUAGGAAUAUUGAAAGGAUCUGUCCCUAGUACGAGAGGACCGGGAUGGACGGAUCUCUGGUGGACCUGUUGUGGCGCCAGCCGCAUAGCAGGGUAGCUAUAUCCGGACGGGAUAACCGCUGAAGGCAUCUAAGCGGGAAACCCACCUUAAAACGAGUAUUCCCUGAGAACCGUGGAAGACGACCACGUUGAUAGGCCGGGUGUGGAAGAGCGGCAACGCUUGAAGCUUACCGGUACUAAUAGUUCGGCUGAAGGCA
rnacentral:rRNA from 1 species